rnacentral:sRNA from 1 species
CGGGGGCAAGAGGUUCGACCCGAGCGAAGCGAGAAAACGUUGCGUCAGCAACGGCCCGCAGGGCGAGCCACGCAGUGGCGAGUCAUCCUCUAUCACCGACCA